GUUGAACGCUGGCGGCGUGCCUAAUACAUGCAAGUCGAGCGGCAGCGCGGUCUUCGGACUGGCAGCGAGCGGCGGACGGCUGAGUAACGCGUGGGAACGUGCCCAAAAGUGAGGAACAACUGCUCGAAAGGGUGGCUAAUGCCGCAUAUGUUCUUCGGAUUAAAGUGUUCGGACUCUUUGGGAGCGGCCCUCGUAGGAUUAGGUAGUUGGUGAGGUAAUGGCUCACCAAGCCCACGAUCCUUAGCUGGUCUGAGAGGAUGAUCAGCCAGACUGGAACUGAGACACGGUCCAGACUCCUACGGGAGGCAGCAGUGAGGAAUCUUCCACAAUGGGCGAAAGCCUGAUGGAGCAACGCCGCGUGCAGGAUGAAGGCCUUCGGGUUGUAAACUGCUUUUAUAAGUGAAGAAUAUGACGGUAACUUAUGAAUAAGCACCGGCUAACUACGUGCCAGCCGCCGCGGUAA
rnacentral:rRNA from 1 species